UUGAAAAAUGAAUGAAUGAAUAAGCAAUACCGGGGGCAUGUAAGUAACGCUAUGUCUUUAGUUUAACUUUCAUUUUCAGGUGAAAGGUCCUCUUUAAAUAAUAGUUUCAUGGCAACGGCGAAUGCAUUCGUAAUUUGUUUUUUCAAUGUUUUGUAUGAUUAUUUGCGUAUAGCAUACUAAUGUAUUGGAGGAGAGCCAUCGACUCUCCUACUGCAUCAACCUGCCAUCUAUUCCACCUGGACGGCAGAAGCAGGUGCUGUUUAGAGGUCUGUAUGGCCGGUUUGAAGGGUAGGUUCUGUUGGGUUGAGAGUUGCCUUGGCUAAUUAAUGUACUUGUCCGAGAUCAUUUUUCCAGUGACAGUGCCUGGUAUUUUAGCUCAGCCUCAUUCACUCACAGCUGCAAUACCGAACACUUCCUUAUGACAAGAGUGGCACUGUUUCUGGGGGGAAAAAAAGUAGACCCAGCAAUAAUAGAGGGGUUGUUCAAACUGGACACCUCCUUUUAUCACAUAAUCACAUCAUUUUCCAUCGAUAACCUGCCUUACCAGAUACCAUCAGGACGCCUAGUGUCAUGCAGCACAUAUGACCACAAUGGGAUAUCAAAUGAUCUAGUAGCAAAAUGAAGAGUAGGCUAAAGUGAUCGUCCAAAUACAUUACCUUCUGUGCAAAACUGGCCACCUUUGAAUGUGUUUUUGUUGCUUUCUGUCAGGAUUAAAAAGAUAACGCUUACAGGUCUAGCUGUCAGGCAGCUCCUCUGACAGAUUUCACUGUGAAAGGGACUGAGCAGCCUGGAAUGUAUGUGAAAAGGGGCAGGCUUCAGUGGACAAAUAGAUGACAUUAAAAAAAAAAGAUCUAUUGGAAAAAUUGUGUUCUUUUAGCCCAAAAUAAGUGGAGUAACAAUACAAAAUGCAUUUAAGGGUGUCCAUAGCAUUUAAUGCAGAUUGCUCCCAUGUUUACAAGGGCCAAUGAUCAAGUAUGAGCAUUUUUUUUUAUGAAUACUUGAUUGGGCAAUUAAUAGCCUGUGUAAAAAGGGCUUAAAGGCUAUGUAGACCUUCAGAGGCAAAUUUUUUUUAAUGAUUGAAUUUAACUCAUUUUGGGCGAAUUUUUUUUUUUUCAAUUGGUCUUUAUUUAAAAAAAUAUUGAGCUGUUCUGUCACAAAGGGUUAACUGUUUAGCUGUGUGAGUGGUACUUUUUACUUUCACUUUGUACUUGUCAUCUAAUAACCUUUAUUUCUAAUUUACUAAGAGGUCAUAAACACUAACCGUAAUAUAAGAACUGAGCUAUAAUGAGUGUUUAUAAUGUUAGAGAGCAGAGAUAAGGCCAUUUGAAAAAAGGAUUUUUUAGCUAAAAAUGAGUAAACUGCAAUCAUUAAAAAAAAUUGCCUCCGAAGGUGUACAUAGACUUUAAAAAGGUUUAACAGCUUUAUCCAGCAAUGUACAUUUUAUGCCUUGGAUUCUUGGUCAUCCUUUGCAACUAUUCUUCAAGCUGUCAUAACCAGAAGAUCAGUAAAAAAAAUAAGGUAGUAAACCUAUCAUUUUGGUAUAAAAAGGAAAUCACUAAAUGAUGGCAAUUCUUCCCAGUUAAAGGGGUUAUACAAAAUAAAUAAAAAAGUCUGCCUUUCUGGUAUUUUAGUUCAUCCUCAUUAAAAUGGUUUCCAGUCUUUCAUUUACAGUCAAAAAUAAUUGGCUGGUGCCAAUUUAUAUUUGUUAGGCUGGGUUCACAUCUACUGUGUAGGUUCAGCUUAAGGUUUCCCUUUGAAGGGCUGUUGGAUAGACCGUUAUUUCAGGAAGGUGGGUGUUCUGCCAUGCUUUCUGCAUUACCAUACUGACACUUAGGUUCCAUCGUUCAUUACGGAGGUUUAGAUACACGAGCGAUCAUCUUGUCUUAAGGUCAUGUGCAUUAAGCGAAGGAGUUCCCUACUCCAGAAACCCCAUUUAUAAAGAUCUGAAAACCAAAGUAGUCUUUAAAGGCUAUGGAAAUCUUUGGGGCAAUUAUUUUUAUGACUGCAUUUUACCUAUUUUGAGCUAAAUAUUAUUUACUAACUGGACAUUAUUAAAAAUGUCUGGUGGUUGCAGUUAAAAAUCAGUCUAUUUAGACUGUUCCUCGGGAGUUCCAUCAGUGGAAGGCUCUUGUGAAGCCUUAUCUCUGAUCUCCUGACCUCAUAAACUCUUAUGAAACUGAUAAGAAUUAGAUGCAAUGAUAAAAUAAAUUCUCCCGAAGGUGUCCAUAGCCUUUAAUUCUCCAGUGGUUGAUAUGUUGCAUAUGUGAAAGUUGUGUUACAUUGCUCCUAAAUAUAUGAUAACUGUUCAUAUGAAUGGCAGUGGAGGCAGAUGUUACCCCAGUACCAGUUUGUAGCCAGUGCGUGGCAUGCCCUCGUUUUAUAAGUACGGUAGACAGAUUGAUCUCUUUAUUUUUUCAUCCACAAAAGUGACAAGAUGGUUUGUUAAUGAUAGAGAUAUAUUUAUUACCUGCAUAAUUGGGUGUUUUUCUAUUGUGUUCUUUUGCUGCUGAUUGUUAACUUACUGAUGUUCCUUUAAAGGGGUUGUCUAAGAUUAGAAAAAGGGUUCUGUUUUUUUUUUGAGAAGCCACACCAUUGAAAGGAUGCCUCCAGGUUGCAGCUCAUCCCCAUUCAAAUCAAUGUGAAUGAACUGCAAUACCAGACACGACCUGAGGGCAAAGUGGCGUUGUUUGAAAAAAAA